rnacentral:rRNA from 1 species
ACCAAGGCAAUGAUGGGUAGGGGCCCUGAGAGGGGGAUCCCCCACACUGGUACUGAGACACGGACCAGACUCCUACGGGAGGCAGCAGUGAGGAAUAUUGGACAAUGGGCGGGAGCCUGAUCCAGCCAUGCCGUGUGCAGGAAGACUGCCCUAUGGGUUGUAAACUGCUUUUAUACGGGAAGAAACCCACCUACGUGUAGGUG